rnacentral:rRNA from 1 species
GUAAUGCCGGAUGCUCCGGUUGGAUGCAUGUCCUUCCGGGAAAGAUCCGUCGGUAUGGGAUGGGGUCGCGUCCUAUCAGCUUGAUGGCGGGGUAACGGCCCACCAUGGCUUCGACGGGUAGCCGGCCUGAGAGGGCGACCGGCCACAUUGGGACUGAGAUACGGCCCAGACUCCUACGGGAGGCAGCAGUGGGGAAUAUUGCACAAUGGGCGCAAGCCUGAUGCAGCGACGCCGCGUGCGGGAUGGAGGCCUUCGGGUUGUAAACCGCUUUUGAUCGGGAGCAAGCCCUUCGGGGUGAGUGUACCCUUCGAAUAAGCACCGGCUAACUACGUGCCAGCAGCCGCGGUAAUACGUAGGGUGCAAGCGUUAUCCGGAAUUAUUGGGCGUAAAGGGCUCGUAGGCGGUUCGUCGCGUCCGGUGUGAAAGCCCAUCGCUUAACGGUGGGUCUGCGCCGGGUACGGGCGGGCUGGAGUGCGGUAGGGGAGACUGGAAUUCCCGGUGUAACGGUGGAAUGUGUAGAUAUCGGGAAGAACACC